UGAAACUCACCGGCGUCGACGUCGUUGUUUUGCGCGCACGCCGCAGGUGCCGGAAGAUAACGCACACGCAUUCCACGCAUUCUUUCGCUUGUCCUCUUUCUCUUUCGAGGCAGUUGCCCGAUUUCCUUCUCUCUCGAUCUCUCUUGCUGGUGCUCUUAUCACCCACCUCCUUUGCGUUCUCUUCGCUUGGCAGUCGCGUGUGGGUUUCUCCUGCGGCCGUCACCUUUCUCUGAUUCAGCAACGACCUCUCUCUAUCGCCGUGCACGCGCACAUCCACACACGCUCACCUUCAACACUCGCUCUUGCUUCACUACCUCUUGCUACGACAGCCACAGCCACACCCCAUCACGUAUACCGUCGUCUCCCUGUGUUGGUAUUCGCGUGGUCCUCCGCGUGCCGGCUUUGUUACUUGCGUCUGCGUGUUGAGUUUGCGUGCCAGCACGUGUGUGUGUGUGUGUGUGUAUCACCUGCAUAGUCAGUCCCCCGAUCUAAACGUCGCCAUCAUGAGCCUAGAAGACUGGGUGGAGCAGCGGUACGCACGCCCUGUCGUCGUCGUGGAGAGCAGCGCCGCGGCGGAUGCCAUUUGCGCCCGUAAUGGUAUGGAUCUCAUUCACCUGCUACGCCUGCACAGCGUGUACGCGGGCGGGCCGCUCUACGCCCGCAUCGGGGACCGCAGUGAACCGGUUGCGUGCAACAAGUUCGGUGUUCGGCUGAUGCGCACCGAGUGUGUGCGUGACGUUUCGCUGUCCCAGGUGGCACGGCACACUCGGCACCUUCUUCGGAACGCGGCGGCGUUCGACCUUGCCUACGGGGAGCAGCUGGAUGCUGCACUGAGGGACAUUGUUGCAAAGAAUCGCAGCCGCCACGACGGAUCGCUGCCGCGGCCAGUCCGGGCGGCGCAACCGUCCACAGAGUCGUCGUCGCCCCCCGCAGCGUCUGAGGUAAUUGGCGGACCAGCAGCGGUGUCGACGCUACUGGAGCGCGCCUGCCCCACGUGGCACCGCGCCUUCAUUCGCGACCUCCACAGCCUCGUGCGGUGCAGCUCCUUCGACACCAUCGACUACCCCAUCGGGGCUCUCUUCGCCGUUGCCACGACCGAGGCGGGUGGCGUCGAGGGCAUGCUUCAGGUCUUCCGUGCGCAGGCACGGCGCAUCCAAGAGUUGCGCGCCAGCCUCCCAGGCAUGGACACAGAGCUGCACCAGUACUACCUAAUCCUGCACGACAACACGUCACCGCUGAGUCCGUCGCUGAGCACCGCGCGGCAGGUUCUGACAUCCGUGCAGCAGCUCUACGGGGCGAAUUACUGCGCCCUCAUCAAGGUGAACUCCGUCGUCGACCCGCGCACCGUAAAGAACCUCGAUCCGUCCAUGUGGAUCGCGGCCUCGCCGAUGGUGAUGGACGUGCCCUCUGCGCAAGCACUUCAUCAAGCAGCGGCGCAGGCAGCAGCAGCAGCAUCGUCCAACACCGUCACCGCUUCACAAUCUCCUAGCGCGUCCACUACCUCCCCCUCCUCCGGUGCCGCGUCGCCGUCCGGCACCGCUGCUGACUGCGCCCCCGCGCUUUCGUUCCGCGCCGUGCACAGAACCUGCGGCACCUGGCCAAACUCGAACACUGCCAUCAUCACCGGGUGCUACAUGAGUCCCGAGGACGUGACGGACGUGCACAACGUCAUGGCCUACUACCUCUCCCAGUCCCUCUUCAAGUUUGUCGAGCGGCGGCUGCGCAUGCUCGACGUGUCCGUGCAGGAUCGGCGCACGACGACGCUGAGUAAGAUGGCGGCGUGGUUCAAGGGCAAGGACGAGGGCCGGCCCCGCACUGCCGACGUAGUAAAAACGCCGAACGGCUUGGACUCGUCUGCAUUCCCAAGGUACGUAGCGCACUCGCUGGAGAUGCAGAUGCGGCACUGCGGUGAUCUCUCGCUGGCGCUGCACGACCUGAAAGGCGCUAUCUCGUACUACCGCAUGUGCAUCGAGGAGCUGCUCGAGACGCUGGCGCUGCGGCCGUACAACCGGGCCCUCAUCGCGGCUUGCCAAGAGGGCAUCGGCGUGGCGCAGCUCCUGCAGGGCAAGCUGGUGCCUCAGAGCCUGACACCGUGGUACACCGGCGUGACCUCCGCGACGCAGCGGGUGAGCUCGCAGACAAACCGUUGGGAGGUGGCGUGGAACGACUACUUGGCGGCUGGAACGCCAACGCACGCGGUGCGCGUUGCCUUUCUGCUCUACGAGAGCAGCCGAGUCCGCACCCCGCCCAUGCUGGAUCGGUGUCAUGCGAUCCUGACACACCUGCUGCGGAGCGGCAUCCUGCAGCGGCAAAAUCUGUUGAGUGGCGUCGUGAACGACUUGUUGGCCGGCAUCGCGGCCUUCACAAACCCGCCUUUUCCAGCUGGGUUAGAGGUGCCACCAUCGAUCCCGAGAGACUACCCUGUGUACAUGAACCUGCGCCGGUUUGCGCAGCGGCUGCAGCGGGCAGGCGCCCUGUACCGCGCCGACAACUCACUGGAGCAGGCGCUGCGGUGCUACCUGCGUGUGCUGCAGCUGCUCCGCGCGAUUGACCCGCAGGAGACGUGGAAGACGCUCACCGAGCACCUCUACCUGACCGCCGGCCAGCUCUACAUGCAGCUGGGCCAGGACGUGCGCGGAAUCGCCAUGACAAGCGUCGCCGUCGCGCAAGGGACACCGUUGUAUCGUCACCCUGCCACCGCGCAGCAGGCGUUCGAGGGCUUCUGGGCACAGCAGAAGCGCAUGCUCUCCAGCAUGGGCUACGCUCUGUGCCCGCACAUGCCGAUGCCUCGCAUACUGCGCGGCUCCUUUCGCGUGGACCGCAACUACUACAGCACCGACACACUGACCGACGACGCGGCGCGCAAGAUGAGCGAGGCAGCAGCAGAGACGGAAUGGCACAGCAUGGAGAAGCAUCUAAAGAAGAACUACACGGAAACGGUGCUGAGGGCACACCCGUCCUACCGCUUCCCGGCCUUCCACGGAGGCAGCAAAUAUGGCUGCGGCGGCACUGCUCACAGCCGGCGCAGCCAGGACGGCCACAGUGGGAGCUGUAGCACGGCCAACAGCAGCUAUCGGUACAACACGGCAGCCGACAGACGCGGCGGGGCCUCGUCGCCGGCGGUGUCGCAGCAAGCAGGUGCGCGUCAGGACGACCACGUGUUUCCUAUGGCAGAGGCGGCGUCAGGGAGCGCUGCACAGCCGCAGCGGCGCUUCACUAUCGCAAAGGCCGAGCCGCUCGCGCUCAACUUUGUUAUGGAGAACAUCAUCGGCUGCUCGAUUGAGGCGACCGAUUUGACGCUGCUCUACCUCGACUACGCGUCACCGGAGCAGCUGUGGAAGAGCUCGAUGACGCAGACGGUGCGCCUCGAGGCCGGCGCGCGUCGGCGCGUCUCCCUCUCCUUCGACCCUGUGUCAGAGGGCGAGUACGCUAUCAUCGGCCUGUGCUGGUCCUUGCUGGGUCAGGAGGGGUACUACUACUUUGCAACGCGGGAAAGCCGGCCUGGGUGUCCGGAGAGCCUGUACGAGUACGCGAUUGAGAACCCGAUGCCCUCCCUCGAUGCCCCGGAGAACAUCCACGUGAGCGUGACGCCGUCGAAGGCGUGUGUCACGGCCACCUUUCAGCCUCCGAUUCCGGAACACCUAUGCGACGGCGAGUACUUUUACACCAACCUCGUCGUGCGCAACACCAGCGCGCAGCAGGACGCGGUACACGUGGUUCUGCAGCGUAGCCCCGCGGCAUCGCAUCUCAUGUACAUCGAGGAAUUCGGCCGGCUGCAGAAUCUCGAGCGGGAGGCUCCGUUGGUGCUGGCAGAGCACCUGAAGGCGCAAGAGACUCGCACCUUCGCCGUCACCAUACGUGCGCAACAUCGGCGCAGCGAUGCGGCGCUGCAGAACACGCCCAAUUACUUUUUUCUGCUGAUUGCCUACCUUUCCGGGCCCCUGCCGGAGCCAGAGAAGCUGCCGCCGUGCUUGUUCGCGAGCGCCGCGGAGCUCGACCCCGCGAAUGCGACCCCGCCGACGGAGUCCGCGCUGACGUCGACGAUGGCGUCGCCCACCUCACUGCUGCACCGGCAGCUACACAGCCCCACAGCUGCUGUUGCGGCCCACAAGGCCGCGGGCGGGCCGGCGGUCAUGGUAUGCCUGCAUCGGCUGCUGCGCCGGUGCGAAGUCCAGCCAGUCGUGGCAAUGCACUCGACAGUGCUGCCGCCAGCCAACGCGUCACUGCAAACAGCCGUGGUGCUGACGGUGAAGAACAUUAGCCCGGCCGUGGUACGUGCGCCGGUCACCGCUACUGCCGCGACCGCAAUCACCACCACAAGCGGCGAGCCUGCCUCCAUCACUCCGGCGAGCACCCCGGAUGUCGUGCAAGCAGUGCCGGUAUCCAGCAGCGGAAGCGCGGCAUCGUCGUGUCAUACCCACGCCAGAGGCCACUCGUACGCGCCAGUGCGCGUUGCCCGCGUGUUGGUCGUGCACAGUCCCCGCUGGGGUGUCGAGCACAAGGGCACAGAAGAGCUGUUUGCGGACUGCGCCGUGCACUGCCUGCUCUCCCACGGAGACUCGCUGACGCUGCCUCUGCUGGUAAAGCGGCAACCGCGCGCCGCAGAAGGGGCAGAUGCGACGGUGCGGCGCGUGUCGCUGAGCGACGGCGCCGCCGCCACCAGCGCCGGGGCGCAAUGCCCGUACCGCGACACCACGUGCAUAGCGCUGGCGAAGGCACUUCCGUCGCCAGCACGCGCGAAGGCCGUGGAGGAGCACCUCGGCACGUCUGUAUCCCAGUCGGAGCGCAAUCUUUUCUUUCUGCAAACCUCGUGUGUUGGGCCGGGCCACGUCGGCGCACGCCCGUCCGCGGACGAGGCCGGCGGCGGCUUAGCGUUCUACGCCGACAAAGCUGGGCAACAGAAGGAGGCAACGAAGACAGCAAAACAGCGCCGAUGCGACGAGGCGGACGAGGAGCGGCGUCUCUGCGGGGGCCCGAUAGAGCAGUACACCCCACUCGCCAUCGCCGUGGCGUGGGUGCGCGAAGAGGGUGGCGGUGCUGAGAGUCAUAAGAAACACAGUGGUGUUGGUGGUGAUCUGGGCCAGCGAGAAGGCCAGGUGUUCCUCUUCGUGGACCCCAUCGAGCACGUGUACCAGACAGUGGCGCAGCAGCAGAAGCGGCAGGCUGAGCAGGAGUCGGCGACGUCGCUGCGGCCGGCCCUCAGCGCCGUCAGGGCUGGCGUGUCGGCCGAGCAAACCCAGCAAGAGCUCUGCGAGGCCAUGCUGGUGCGCUACGCCAGCCUCAAGCGCUGGCAGGGAGCCUUGGUGUCGCACGUUCAGGCACCCCCAGUCGUGCGAGUCACACCGAGCCGAGCAUCGGACAAGACUGUUGCUGCCCCGGUGCCGGUGACGCUGCGCUGCCUGUCGCUGGCGCCGGUGCCGCUGCUCGUGACCGCCGAGGCCCUGCCGCCCCCUGUGCCGCACCAUUCUCUCUCCUUCCUCAAGCACGCUCGCGAAGGAGGAGCGAGGGGCGACCAGGCCGCCAGCCCUGCCACACCACCACCACCACCGUCUCCUCCGGCAGCGAUGACGGCGAGCGGGUCCGAUGUGCCGGUGCUGUUUGUAGGGAAGACAGUGCACACAUUCUUGCUGAUGCCGAGCGAGGAGUACGAGGUGCAGUUCACGGCGCUCGCACUGCGCCCUGGGCUGGUGGACUGCCAGCGCAUCUCUCUCAGUGCUGCCUCCAUCUGCUACUUGCACAGCACCGCCGAAAAAGACGACGACGGCGCUGAUGGCGCUGACGAGAUGCGAGGCACGGAGGGUGCGCAGCCGCUCAUGUGCACGGGUAUGACACUUCCGUCUCUCAUCCGCGCCUUGCUGAGUCACAAGACACCGUCGGCAGCGCCCAGAACUGCACCGCGCGUGUUGCUCUCAGACCGGCAGCUGUGUGGGCGCCAGCGACCCGACGACGGCGCAGACAUGCGCAGCGGCGCGGAACGGUGCGGACGCCGGCAAGCCCUGCAGGGGUAUCUGGCGGCUGCAGCGCAUAGCAGUGUGAUGACGCUGGUAGAACGCUACGGCACCCGGGCGGCGGAGCUGGUGCGCCAGCUUGCCCCUCUCGGCCCGGCCGGUGGUGCGACAGUCAGCCAGGUGAUGUCCUACACUGCGCCUGCUCUAACCCGCGUCAUCAUGGUCGAUGACCGCGCCGCUACAUCGACCGCUGUGGGGGAGGGUUCUGGGGUGACGGUGCGGAAAGCCGCACCCGCGGCUGCUCCUGUCGCGGCCGUGAGCGCCCCCUCCACCGCAGCGGCUGCGGCGACGCGCUCGCAUGACGCCGCUCGCAAAUUCUUCCGCCAGCUGGAGAUCUUCGAAACGGAGCUCGAGAGAGCGAGGCUCGGCAACGUGUCGGACCCCCAUGGGCUGCAAUACGUAUACCGCCCCACCGUCAAGAUGGCGGGGGGCGGCACGUCCAGGGGCGGCCACUGCACAGCCAACAGCUCCUUUGCCACGCCCAGGUCGGUCACCAGCGUCGCAGGCGUCGGUGGCAGCGCGGCAGCCCCUUUGCGCAGCCCCUCCUGGAGUACGCCCCUGAUGCCAGCGGCAGCGCCGCCACCCCUAACGGAAGAAGCUACGGCCAUAGGCAACGGAGGAGUCUCGGCGCCCGACAGUGUCGGUGGCUCCUGGGUGGCCGAUCUGGUCUCGGCAACGUCGCGCAAGAUGGACAGCGUCGCGCAGCCCGCGGUUGUGGCCGCCGUCGGCGCCCAAGGAACCUUCUCCUCGGUUCGAUCACCUGCGCGGCAGCCGUGCGACGAUGCCGAGGAGCUGGGCAGCCCUCUUCACCUCCCCGCAGUUGCGUUCGAGAGCCACGCAGCGGAGGCGGCAUUCACCCUCGAUAUCAGUGAGACGAGCUCGCCCUUGCAAUGGUCGCACGAUGGUCCGCAUCCGCUGAGCGGCGCUGACGGGAUGGGUAGUGUUGAAUGCAUGGCGGAGUUGGCGGUGCGCGAGGACUCGGACCCUCUGUGCGUGGCUGGCACCAAGACGCAGAUCGGCCUCGUGUCUCCGAUGCGGCAGCUGCGCUCGAGCGAUGUCAGGAUUGCAUGUGCCGCUGACGUGUGCGACGGUACCGAAGUGCUGAUGAACGCAGCUGACGCCAAGGAUACGGAAACGUGGACUUCGCCGGCAGCGAGGCACGCGCCUUCUCUGCCACGGCACUCACAGGAAGCCGGGAACUCUCAGGAAGCAGAGCAUUCCGCUUUCGCCGCUUGGGUACACAAUCCGCUAUCGCCGUCCUCUGCUUCUGGCAUUGCGGCAUCUUCCCCAGCUGGCUUCACCGCUGACGUCGCUGUAGGCAUCCCCCCGCCCUCCCCGUCGUCCUCAUCCCUCCCGCCAUCGGGAGCAGCCGCAGUCGACGCGACGACGCCACCGACAUGAAUGCACAGCAGUGCAGCUGGAUGGGCAGAGCAACGUUGUUGUGCACGUGUGCCGCGCGCAUGAGUAGUGCGCUUAUGUGUGUAUGCGUCUCCUGGAGGUGGUGCUUGGCACUGUGCGCGGAUGAAGCGUGGGAGCUGUCCAUGCGUGUGCGCCUGUGUCGCUGCGUGUUUGCCGAGUGUGUGGUGCCGGUGUGUGUGUGUGUGUUCCAGGGGGGGGGGGCAGUCUUUAUUUACUUGGUCACUUCUCGAGCUCAACAGCAAGCUGAACUCUCCCCCCGCUCAUCCCCUUCAAUCAGCACAGGAGGGAGCAUAGCUAUCCUCG
rnacentral:misc_RNA from 1 species